rfam:Woeseia oceani strain XK5, complete genome.
AGCGUUUUUUGCCCAGGCGGAGCUCGACCGCCGACUGAAGUGAUGGUGACGUAUAUUGACGGUCAUAAAGAUCGUUUUUGGGUCUAGCCGAUCUGCACGGUAUUGCCGAUUGCCCCG